GGGUGUCCCCUUCCUCCCUCCCAAAGCUGCAUGCUUGGUUGAAGAAGACGGCCUUCCCCAAAUAGAGACGAACCAGUCUUCAGUUGAGGGUAGCUGCACUUCCCUACUAGAACCUUUACUAGAACCCUACUAGAACACGCUCUCAUGGAGCAGUGCUCUGGUUAUUCUCUCAUAAAAUAAUUUUUUAAAAAAAAAUUCUACUUAUUU
rnacentral:snRNA from 1 species